rnacentral:lncRNA from 1 species
GAACACCUACCUACGGCAUUCAUAACCCCACCGUGUUCCCGGACAGUCACGGUUAAGCACACAGUUGGCAAUUUUAUUAGCUUAUGUUUAAGUUCUCUAAUACCGGAUGUUAACAAAAUAUUCCAAGUUGCCACAUAACCGCGGGCACGGCUUUCCGAAAGAUUAAACCCUGCAGGGGUGCUCCAACUAGUCCAUCACAAACGUACACAGGCCGCAAAGUAAUCCUCUAUCACGAGUCUCGUGAUCUCGUCGGAUUCCUUAGAGGAAAACCUCAACUCUGGGGAAAACCAAAGCUUCACUGGGAUUCCUAUACGCAAGAUAUUCCGCUAAGGUAAGGCAAGGCUAGCAGGACCUCCCGACGUGUCGACGACCCCGAUAAGAGCCGCGUAUCUCAGUCUCAGGACACGUCGGAUGAGCUACGCGUACAGUGGCCUGAUAGAAAUCUCUCAAGUUGCCCUGAGUUGGCCCCGCACAGUGCUCUUGUUUGGACCAACACUCAUGAGGAGCACUGGCCCAGGUUGUUGAUUAAAUUCCUCAGGGUAGCUAUUCCCUAUGCAGUUUAUUAUUAAGUGAUUAGCAAAUUAACACCAAUGUUGGGUCCUGCCGGACAAGCCUUAGCACUACGCGAUUUAUCAAGGGGGUCCCCAUAACAACCCCGAACGUGUUAGGAGCGAUCAUUAUUGAAUCAAACACCGGUAACCGAUAACUAAGGCGGCAAUAACGGAACAAAGCACCCGGCAAAAGGCUAGGCCUCCCGUCAUUUACCAAGUAUAUAGGUGCAUUGAUUAAAUAACGGUAUUUAAAAUAAUUAUAUCAAGCUCAUGUUAUCACAUGAGUUAAAGCACCUGCAUCUAGCAACGCUAACAUUGGUAGCUGAGCAAAGCCUACUUAGCUAUUCAAGUUUGCUAGGAAGGGGAACAGUGUUUGGGCUCAUGGCAUAUCAAGAGGCAAUGUAAUUCAGUGGUAGGCAGUGAGCAAUAUGACAUGGAAACGAAACUAGCAUAACAAGUCUAGAGAUGGAAUCAAGGUCAUAUCAUCUUGCCUGUGAUAUCCUCAGCUUGGAAUGGUUCUGGUUCAUCCUGCACGUACUCUCCUGACUCCACGUAUUCGUUCUCCGAUCCCGGUGCUACCCAACAUAAGAAUAACAACCAAUGAACAGCAGCACCACAAGAUGCAACAAUCACAUGAUGCAUGAGAUGAAAAAUGAGCAUGCAUCGCUAUUUCUAUCACUAGCACAAGCAAAAGAAACUACUACAAGUUUCUGGACAGAACUGUACACUAAGCUAUUUUGACAUGCAUGAGGAUGGCAUGAAUAGAUGCGGCUCGUGAAAACGAUGCAAAACCAUAUAAAGAACAUUGCAAACGGAGCUACGGAUCAACGGGAAACAACGAAACAAUAUAUGAAGCUCUACGUGGAAGAAUCAACACCACACCUACAAUUGGCACAAAUCUGGUAUUCCCAGGUUUCCAAGACAUAUAACAACCCAACAUGAAUGGAUUGGAGCAAGGAAGAACACCUCAACCUCAACUAAGCACACACAAAGAUCAAAAUGACUAUACUACUCAAUCUGCCAUAAUUUGCAUCUUAGCUCUUUGUGAGCUACAUGCAACAUAGCUACAUCCCUCCAAAUAUGAAAAAUAAUAUAUGUGGUUGUAGCCCACCAAGAACACUACAAGCACCAUCAAGAAUCACAGCAAAAGGAAUUAAACUCUAGAAGAUACAAGGCCACAAACUUUCACAAAACCAUCAGAUCUCAGGGACUUGGUGAAAAUCCCUGCACCUGACUUUCUGUCUUUGUUCUGAAGCUUUUUGACAGCAAUCAAAACACAACCUACUGGACUCCAAAUGAGGUGACAUUUUCCAGGGAGCUUCACAAACAUAUCAGGUCCAAAAUCCUAGCACUGAACUAAGGCUAGUUCACAACACAAUGACCAACACAACCUCAUCUAUAGCAGAAGAAAAUGUUUCCAGAUUCUCAGACUUAGUGAAAUUCCAGAUUUCACUAAGCUGGAUUUUUUCAGCCACAUGCCCACUUUGUCUAGGCAUAGUUUGCACACACAUAACACCAAGUGAUAAAUGACACCACUAUGGUGUAAAGCAAAACUCCUACUACUAUCACACAAAAACUCAUGCCCUUGGGCUCCACCUAUUCCAUGGAAACCAAGAUCAAACUUGCAACGAAUCUGAAUAUGUCAACUCCAUAAAGUAUCCCAAUGGCAAAACUAACUUCACCACUGGAUUCCUUGGGAGUUUCUACCCCAGAAUCAUAUAUAAAAUGUGGGCACCUACUUAGAACAAGUGACCACAAAUUAAGGGAGAGGAAGCUACUCCAAAUCAUGCCUAGUGAAUGAGCAUCAUUUCAUGUAGUUCCACUAUAACAACUACAAAGGUUGAGCUCAUGUGCACAAUGACAAAGUGACAUGGGGGUUUGAACCCCAUGUUUGUGUCAUGCACAUCAACUUCUCAACCCCUACUAUUAAGCCUCCCACACAAACAACAUACCAUGCCCUCUCACAUAUGGCCAUGUGGAGGUGCAAGGCUUGCUUGCCAAGGUGGGAUGCUACUGACACACACACCUAGACCACAUCACCCACAAGCACAACAUGCUCAAGAUCAUCAUCACACACUUACACAUGUUAUAUUAGCAACCAACUAGAACAAGGUCAACUCCAUUUAUAAACACACAACCUAGUGCUACAUCAUGUGCUAGCACCUACAACAAUGAAGAACCUACACAUGCUUCAACUACAUGCUAUCAUAUCCCUAGGAACAACUAUAAGCUGCACCACAUACACCCAAUCUAGUGCAACUACACUCAUGUGUAUGCCCACACACACACAUACACUUCUUACCAGCACAUCCACACACACUAUACCACCUAGCACCACAUAUCUGCAAAGGAAAAAUAAAACACAAUGACAUGGCCACCUAUGCCUUUGUCACAAGCACAACAACAACAAAGAAGGAAGUGAAUUUGCAGCAAAAGAGAAAAAAAGGGGGGCUUCCUGGGAUUCGAACCCAACACCCACUGGUGCAACAAACUUCCCCCUACCACUCUGCUACUGUCAACUUAUCGACAACACAGAGGGUUCAGGCAAGGUAAGGCAACCCCUGCAAUAUACUGUGCCGAAAAAUCAUAGAAACAAAAGGUGCCGCGGGGGGAUCGAACCCAGCACCUGCAUCAGGCACAACAGGACACAUACCACUGGGCUACGCUACGGAGUCUGGUCUAACAUGCGCAACAAACGAGCUGAAGGAGGUUCCCUGUGCUGAUCUACUGCCGGCGACAGACCGGAACAGGGGAAGGCCCUCGCCGGCGAUAUGGGUCAAUAAUCAACGGCUCGUGGAGGGGAGUAAGCCCACACACGCACGGGCUCAUUUCAUGUGCUAGCUGCACCCGAGAGGCUCUACUACGGCGCUGCGAUGGCGAGCGGCGGCGCCGGCGGCAGAGAGCAAGCACACGUCAUCCCUACUACUACUGCACCCGAUCUAGGACAGGGAGGAAGAAGGAGGAGCGCUACCUCGUGUACGAGUCGAGGAGAGGAACGGCUCGUAGAGGAAGUAGUGGAGGAAGGCCGUCGGGGAAGCUACUCGUCGGAGGGGAUGCGCCGUCGGGAAGCAGUGGACGCAGCGCGGGGGAGGUCGAUCUCACGCCGGGAACGGGCUCCUGGAGGCGUCCUCGAGCUGCUGGAGUCGUCGUAGAGGAGGUAGGGGAAGUAGAUCGACGGCGACGACGAGCUACUACCCGUCGGCCAUGGCGAUCCCGUGCCCUCCUUACCUUGUUGCGGCGAGAGAGAGAGAGGGGGGGAUCGGGAUCUGGGCGUUGCGGCGGCGGGGAGGAACCCUAACACGACUGCACGGAUGCCAAGGGGGGUUAAAUAGCUGGAGAGGAGGACGCAAGGGGCGUGCCGUCGGCCAUGUGAUGCCGUUCCUCUCGGUGGAGCAGAGGGGAGGGAUAGAGAGGAUGACAUGUGGGGCCGCCUGCCUCGCUGGAAAGGGAGGAGGACGUGGGGAGGAGUUGGGCUGGGCCGCGCUGGUGGCUUUGCCACUGGCGACAGAUAGAGGAGGGGGCCUGAGAGGGGUUUUGUUCUUUUAAAUAAACACAUCAAAGGAUUUAAAACCACUGGCAGUUCUGUUGGGGUAAAAAUCAAAACAAAAAUGCCCCUGGUCAUAAGGAAUUAUGACCUAUUUGAAAUAAAUAGAAAAGAAAUAUUUGGAGCAAUUUGAUUAAAUACAAAACAACAAUUUAUUUACUGUUUUGGAUUUAUUGGCACCCUUUAAAAACAAGAAACAAAACAACAAAACACAUCUUGGCAUCCUCCACAAAAUACUCUAAAUCCUGGGCAUUUUUGAAACAAGGUUGGGACAAGUGAAUUUUGGAUUGGGGAAUUAAAAGAGAGAGAGAGGUUGCAACAAGACAAACUCACUACAUUUAGGACCAUCAUCACAUGACAUCAUAGAACACCUCAACAGCACACAACAUCACAAAGUAACUAUUUCCAAGACCACCACAUCACAUGAAAUGCUAAGAUCAUAUGGCAACAACAUAAGACAAGGGCAUACAAUGAUAUGCUAUGCAUGCAUGCAUGGGAAGGAAGGGAAAAGAAACAAGGGACACCACAUGAGGUCAUGGCACAAUUGCUAUCAUCAAUACACUGACAAGGUGGACCCACAUGCAACAGGUUCCAAAUAAGGCAAGGUUACAUCUGGGGCACUACAAUUUUCGAAGCAAGUACUGACGCACUGAACUUACCAAGCCCGUCGUCGGCACCGCCACGGCACCAGACAAUGCCGCCUCCCUACGCGUGUCCAUCAUCACACAUCCAUCGCCGAGACCCUGCAAGCUCCACGCCACCGAGACUCCAUGUCGUCGAUGCGUCAUAUGGAAUGCCGCUCCACCGCUAGAACCGUCCAUUGGUCCGUCAAGUCAAUGUACACCUCCAAUAAUGACACCACAAGAAGGGAACGACGCAAGGGCACGGCUGUCAUCCGAUCAACUAAUCUUGGAUUCCCCCGAGAGGUAGCGGAAGGGUUGGGAACUUCACCUCGAUGAUGCCUUCAAGAAGGAAACAACGUCAUUGCGUCAUCAUCAGCGGCUUCGGCCAGCUGUCGAAGACAAGAUCUUCACCCGGAUCUGCCGCACGAGACUUCGACCGACAGUUGUGCAUCUGCAAGACCACCUUCAAAGCCCCUAAAUAAUACGAUCAUCCACAACCACACUGUCACCGUGGUUUAGCCUGGACGGAGCGAGCGGGCUUCUCAGCCUGCUCGUGGCCCGUUCUGGACCGGACCGUCCGGUCCUGGCCCGCUGAAGAAAUUGUUCGGUCCGGUUACUAAAUUUCGGCCCGAGAUUUUCUCGGUCCGGUCCGGUCUUUGACCGGCCCUACCGAGCGGACCGAAGUUGUAGGCCGUUCUUCUUCGUCACAGCCACCGGCGACGCCCUUCCCGUCUCCCACCCCAGCGUUGUUCAUCGGAAUCAAGUACUCGUUCACUCAGUUGACAGAUGGACAGGAGCAAGAGGUAGAAGAAGAUCAGAUCAUGCGCUGCCUUUUUUCAUUUUAUUCAGUCAAACACAGAAUAGAAAGAACGAGAGAGCCGGCGUUCGAUCCGAUAAUCGCGGCGCCAUUCAUGACUAGCCCUUCGAUGCCUUUUCCUUUUACUAGCGACUAACGAGAGAAUCUGGUAAUCAUGCGCACAUCCCAUGCUGCAGUUUCCUUUUAUCAAGUCGAAUGGAAAACAGAAGGAAAACUGAAUAUAUCACUGCUUCCCCUUCCCAUCCUUCCUCUCCUUUCCGUGCACAGUAGCCUCUUGCCGCCGCUCGCCAUUGCUGUCGUUACUUCAGCACAACAUGCACACAGGACAUCAGCUACCCAGGUAGGUGAACCCCACUGGCGCCACCAGGUAGAACUGGGGCACAAUGACGAACGCCGGCUGUGCUGCCAGUUCAGAAACGUGAGCAAAACUGUCAGUUUAGAAAAUUCAGUUUCGUCAUAUUCAGAAAAUUCAGUUCGUCAGUUUCGUCAAAGUUUCAGUUGUCAGUUGAUUCAGGGCUUGAUCUAACACGUAGCACAUCUCCUGUUUAUGUUUAUUCAGGGCUCGACCUAAACUGCAGCUAAAUAGGACAUAAACAGCAGCUGGAAGCAGUUAUGGAAUCGGUCCCCACGGUCCUCCCAGGCUUGACCGAGCCGGCUCUCUUUCGGUCCGGUCCAAGAAAACUAGCUCGCUGGACAGCUCGGUUCGGUCCGGACCGGACCGCCGGCGGCCGGUCCAAACGCCGGCUCGGACCGGGACCGGACCGGACCGGACCGUGUCCAGGCUGAACCGUGGUGUACCCCGACGCUCCGACCACCACUGAAGCAUGGAGGGAGGGCUGCCAUCUCACCGCACCAUGCCGGAAGAACCGCUAGGAUAAACCCCAGGUACGUUCUUCAUCGUCUCUGUACCGCAUGGGAGCCGGGGUCAAAGCCAUCGGACCGUUGGUGCAGCCCCGCCUUGGACAUGAGUAACUCCACGCUGUGUAGCCGUGGGCGACUUGGGCCUCACUGUCCAAGUCUAUUAUUCGACGUGAGUUAACUCUUACAGGGUAGCUGAUCUGGUGUACUAGCGUGUAGUAUUAAUUUUGCUCAGAAGCCCAUGCUAUAUGAAGAUGUGGCCUUGCUCUGCUACCCCUUGUCACUUCGCUACACAUUCAUGGAAGAGAAAGUAGUAGGCCAAAAUACAAUUAAAAGAGCAGGCUAGGAGAAGAUACUCCAGGUUCAGAGUCUUCUCGAUAGGAGUGAGAGGAAUCAGAAACACAUGAAUCAAAAACACAUGUUGUCUGAGUUGUGUGUAUAUACUAAGAGCAAAGUGGGUCUUAUGGACUAUAUUUGGUGAUAUAACGUUUGUACAUUAGAUGUGAACUUGCCAUGCAAGAUGGAACAGUUCAGCUUUUUUGGUCAGAGAAACGAUAUGGGCACUAUCGGCCCUUACAAUAUCAGUAAGAGUGGUACAUCGUCAUCCCAUGCAAGUGUUACAUCAGAGGGAGCAAUGAAGCCGAGUUGUGCGAGUUCCCCGCAAAAAACAGCACCAAAGUUAGCAUCUAGCUUACACUCGGAGAACCGCAGCUUAGCCCGCACUUUGAUAUAUAACCGCAGCUUAGCUGACACUUUAACAAAAGACUAUUAUUCGACGUUUUAGUGACCAAGUGUACUAUCUCUGUUUCUAGACAGAUGAUGUUUUUUGUACUUUGUGAAAGAAGCACUGAAUGCAAGAUAUCAUUAAAAAAAUAUUUUUCGUCUCUUAACUCUUUCGAAAGUGUAACAAUGGUCCCUCAAUACCAAAACCAGCAAAAGUAGGGCCCUCAACUUUAAAAACCAGAUAAGUUCAGUCCCUCGGACGGUUUUCGUCUGGCAUAAACAGUGCACAUAUGAACAGUAAAUUUGAAAACAAAAUAGCAAAAAAGAGUUAAAUUUUAUGACAUCAACGAUACUCAGAUGGGCAAGGUGUGUGCAAAAAUUAGGCAUGUUUUGGACGUUCAAAGAGGUCGCGGCAAAAAAACGAACGUAAGUCUACUCUUUCAUAAACAACAAAUUAAAAAGAUAGAAAAAACUAUCUGAAAUUUGUUGGAAUCCAAGAUGCUUGGAUGAGCAAGGUGCGUGCCAAUUUUUGGGAUCAAAUGAUAUCCAAAGUGCUUGUGGCAAAGUAAACAAAAUAGUGUACAUGUUCAUGCCGUUUGGGGUGGUUUUCAAACACCAUGAGCUCCUUCGAUGUUAUUUGACCACGAAUUUUUUCAUGCACCUUGCGCAACCAAGAUUCUUGGAGGCCAACAAAUUUCAGAUUUUUUUUAUCAUUUUCAAUUUACUGUUCAUUGUAAAAGCAGGUUUUUUUGUUUUUUUGCCACAACGUUCUCAAACAUCGAAACAUGAGAAAAAUUAGCAUGCACCUGGAGCUCGGGACGGUAAAAUCCGGGGCCUGUACGAAACUAACAAUUGAUGGCCUAUCUAUGUAAAAAACUAACGAGCAGUUAUAAUGUAUAUAUAUGUCGCAAAAAUAAUAAUAAAUUAUGUAACAUAAUGGCUUACAUAACAAUUGGACAUAUACAAAAGUAAUACAUAUUCAACUUCCGGUUGCUAUUUAUUUGAACAUCCUCAUUUUUUAGUAUUCUUUAAAAUGAAAUCUUCAAUGAUAUUCUCAUAAUCAAUCUUCUCCAACACUUCACUCUCAAGUGUUAUUGUGGUUAAAUCGUUGAGUCUUUGUUGUGUUAUAGUAGUACGCAUAUAUGACUUCAAUAGCUUUAAUUUAGAAAAACUUCUUUAUGCAAUGGUCAACGAAUACACUGUGAUUUUUAAUCAAGCAGGUAAAAAUCAAUCUCUAACGAAAUAACAAUCCCUGUUAAAAAUUGAUUAGAAGAUCAAAAAAUAAAAUUAAGACCCGAAGUAAAUAAAAAGGAAUUUCCUAAGCACAUGGAGUCAUGGAGCUGGAGGCUGGAGCGGCAGGAAUCCAAAUUUCGAAUUAAUUUAACGACAGCAGCGGCAGGAACGGGGGCACUAGACACAAACCUCGAGGGCUCGAGGCGACAAGACGAGGAGUCGAGGACGAGAGGAGGCAGCGACGUUCGGUUUCGGUUCUUGUAGCCACGAUGGCACGAUCGAGUCGCCUGUUCCUGUUCUUGUCGUACGAUAUGGAGACAGCGCAGCGCCCUCGAUGGCCUCGCCCUCGUCCUCGUCACUCAAGCGAUCGAGGGCUAGCCCCUCGCCAAUCGCUGCUUCGGCCUCACUCCAGCGAAAGGACUGCCCACCGGCCCAAUAGUUAUUAGUUUUUCCUAAUACUAGGUCUAUCUAAUUUUUUUUGGGCCCCAGAAUCAUGGUCUUCUGCGGUCCGCACAGAUGGCAUCACUGUGAGCUUGGCCCUGUUCGAUAUCAUAAAAUUUCAGAUUUUUUUGAAUCCGUUUGCUAUUUUUUCCAAUUUAUUGUUCAUCGGUGUACUGAUCAUCCGAACGAAAACCGCACGAGGGAUUAAACUUAUCUAGUUUUAAAAGUUGGGAAACCAAGUUUUACUGAUUUCGAAGUUGAGGACCAUUUCUAAACUUUUAAAAGAAUUGAGGAACGAAAAAUAUACUUAACCCUUAGAAAAAGCAUUGAUGCCGCUUAUUUCUUGGAACAAGCAUCCGCUUACAAAGAGCGGCUUGAAAUUUCCAACAAUUUGACCUCACGAGGGUCCACUACUGCAGAAUUUGCUUGUUGUGCAGAUUUUGCCACCGUACCAACCUUUGUUCUGUUUUACUCUCCGAUUUGAUUCACGUACGCACCCACGCAGGGAAGGAACAUUUCUAGGGUUUGUUUGAUGCGCGGGCUCACAUUUUGUCGGCUAGGCUAGGCCACAUGCACAUCUCUUCAUGAUUAAAUUUUCGUUGCAUGUUUCCAUUAACUGCAUGCUAUUUGUGGUGUAUCCUGACCAUUUACAUAUGAGCCGUCUGAUCAUCACGCCUCCGCAAGUGAAUUUUUUCCUAUGUGACAAAUCAGAAAAUAGGUUUCCUUUGUUGUUGUUGAAAGAAGGCUAAGACUAUUGUUGUUAUUUGUUCAGUUAAUCAAAAUUACUCGAGUAUCAAUGGAGAACCAUUGACAAAUAGUAAUUCAAAAUUACGUACUUGUGUAGGCAAUAGCGUACAUAUAACUUUAAUGUGUGAAGAUAUAUUGGGUGAGAUAACCCUGCAAAAUAGCAGGUCUCAUGUGAUAGCAAUGGCAUGUAGUAUUAAUUUACCCGGAAGCUCGUGAUAUAUAUAUAUAUAUAUNNNNNNNNNNNNNNNNNNNNNNNNNNNNNNNNNNNNNNNNNNNNNNNNNNNNNNNNNNNNNNNNNNNNNNNNNNNNNNNNNNNNNNNNNNNNNNNNNNNNNNNNNNNNNNNNNNNNNNNNNNNNNNNNNNNNNNNNNNNNNNNNNNNNNNNNNNNNNNNNNNNNNNNNNNNNNNNNNNNNNNNNNNNNNNNNNNNNNNNNNNNNNNNNNNNNNNNNNNNNNNNNNNNNNNNNNNNNNNNNNNNNNNNNNNNNNNNNNNNNNNNNNNNUAUAUAUAUAUAUAUAUGAGCAUGUGGCAAUGAUUUGGUCUGUCACUUCUCAUCCCCAUCCAUAGAAGAGACAGUGGCUAGCCGAAAUACUCCAAGAUAAAAGCGCAAGCUAGGGGUGGAUAAUCCAAGUUCGGAGUCUUAUUGAUAGGAAUGAGAGCAAUUGGAAACACAUGCUGGUCAUGUUCAAUGUAUACGUUGAGACACAAAUGCCACUAUCCUACACUAUCACAUCGUUCUUGACCAAGUGGCUUCGGUUGACAAAAUGGGGGACGGUUAGCCGUGGGCUGGGCUGCUCAUUCAGUUGCAGCCUGAAUUUGAAGACAUGUACGAGUGUUCCAUGUUGGGUACGUUAGCGGACAGACAACACACUCUUUUAUGGACUGGCAGAUGGUCGGGACUCUCGAGGGAGUGGUGUGUCCCUUACUGCAGCUGAUGUGUUCCGAGUCCCUGCAUCCUACACUCCUGCUGCGAGACGACGACUUGUGGAGGAUGCCGUACAUAAUGGUGACAUGGUACGUGACCUCAGGGCACUCUUCCAACACCGUCUAUCACAGAACUCCUCCAACUGUGGCCUAUAUUACACAAUUGGAGCAGGAUCUCUCUCGGACACAUCGGACAUGACUGCAUAUGGUUUACCCACCAUCCCUUUCCACAUAGGCUUAGUGUCGAUUUAUAUGACUUUAACUUUGUCGAAUUGUCGAUAUUUUACCUUUCUUUUUGUUAGACUGUUGGUAGUUGGUUGUGUGCAUUCUAGUUAUGUAGAGGCUGGGUGAUACUUUUAAUGCUUUGUAUUAGUUUGGUGUCACAUUUUGAAAUAAUAAAAGCGUCCUUUAUCGAAGAAAUUGUGUAUCCCUAUUGCACAUUUGAUGGAACAUAUAUGCGUUCUAUGCAAGUGUGAUGUUGCACACUGGUGGGGCUGCGUGUAACAAAUAUGUCGGAAGACCACUCGCGGGAAGCGUCAUAGAUAAGUACGAAUUAAAUUUACAUACUUGAGUUGGCAAUGUUGUCUAUUUAACAUUAAUAUGUGUUGGUGGUGUAUUGGGUGACAUUGCAAUGCACUCCUGCAUGAUAGCAUGUCUCAUGUUACGUUACAUAGUAUUAACUCACUCGGAAGCUCGUGAUACAUGAUGAUGUUACAUUGCUUCCCCAUAUUGCUCCCAAUAUCCAUCCCAUAUAAGAAACACAUCAUGUGGCUAGAUUUCAAGACAAAGGGCAAAUAGAAGAAGAUAAUUCAAGUUCAGAGUCUUGUUCCAUAGCGAAACUUAUGAUGUCAGCUAAGAGGAUGAACUUCUCUUUACCAUACACAAUGGAUUUGGUUGGCGCAUUCUCUAUGUAUCAUCAGGAUUAUACUACACAUACUGCAAAAUCUGUAGCACAUGUUGCAUACGAGAUGGUUUAUGAUUAUUAUUAUGCUAAAUUCUAACAAUAUUUGGAUUUUGUGUGCAUUACAUGUGACACAUGGAAGCUUUUAAGGCUUGCGCACCUUAAAGUAUAUGCUGAACCACUCAGACUCCUUGAAUGCAUCAAGUUGAGGUAAGUGGUUCUUCCCAUCCAUUGACUAGACUAUUCAGGUAUUUCAGGGUUCUAAAAUGACAUAUCUACAUGAUGGUCUUGAGUGUGUGCUUUAUUCACACGACACCAUUGGCUCAUUAUCCUGACAUCGAUUUCAAGCAAAUCGAAUGGAUUAACAUUGCAGAAUUCUCCUUGAAUGCCUUCUCUAUGACCCUUGGAUUGAAGUUUAGCAAUUUGUCCUAAUGUCUAGACUCAAAAUGGUUUGGUAGAAUCCUUUAUCCAAAGAGAUAAGCUCAUUGCAUUAUCUUUACUUCGGAAUUGCAACUUACGAACUUUACGUUGGAGUCAUGUAGUUUUACACGAUCAUGACCAAACUGCAUAAUAUUAUUCUCCUCUAUCUUUGAUACGUGGAAAUCUACCAAGUUUUCCCACCUGCGGUAAUUCGGUUGCAUACCGAUAUCACCACCCGACAUACAUCAUUGGCCGCUCAACAUAUAGUUGAGAUCUAUGUGAGGAAUAAUUGUAUUUCCGCCAAUACUUCAAGCCCUCGCAUGAGGAGUUAUUCAAGGCCAGUAUGUUGAUUCAAUGAGGAAAAUUUCCAAGCAUUAGGGAGAGAAUUCAAGUACCAUAAAGAAUGCUAGGAAAUUAGUGGAAUGUUCAACACAUUUCUGCCUCAAAUCCACGUAGUCAAAGAUUUGAACCAUGUGUUUAGAAGAUUUGUAGCUCAUUGCAGAUAACCUGUCAGAGUCAUUUACUGACUAUAAAGGUGUCACCCAAUCCUACAAUCCUGCAAAAGUACGCCUCAAAGAAUGGAGGUACCAACAAAAACCACUCUACUCCCCGUUCGAUGCGACAUGGGGAUAUGUAUGGCAAAAGUACAUCAGGAUUCAGCUUUUCGCAAGCAAGGAUAUCAAGGCCUAUGAAUCAGUAAAUGCAAAGUCAAGUUCAUGUUGACAGACACCUAAUGUGUAGCAUAUCCAAUAGAUGAGAAACCUCCACCAACCCAGAUCAUGGUGCACAUAAUGACAUGUACAUCGGAAUACCCGAUUCAAUCGCAUUGGAAAAUCGCGAACAGUCACCAUGAGUAAUGAUAUUUCUAUCAACUCUAUAUUGAUAUAUAGAUUCGGAAGAAACAUAUAAAUGGAAGUCUACAAUUGUCGACAUACAUUUCUCAACUAGAUUGCAAAAGUGUUUCAAAUGAUUCAUAUGCAAAGACCAUCGCCAUGGCAAACUGUGAACAACAUUCGGACUGAACUCAAGCAACAAGGUUAUAAUCUAGGCAGAAAUAAUCUUUCUCAAUAAUGGGAAGAUAUUCAUAAGCAAUACCUACACCAGUUUUCUUCUCGAAACAGGAUUGAAAACAACAAGGUGAUGAAACAUAGAGCAGGUAUUAUAGAACAAGGGUUCACGCAGAUAUCCAACUAUUCUCCAGAUGUAGAAUCUCUUUUCGAUAACUUAUAUCAUUGACAAUACAAAAACAUCUAUUUGUGCAGUUGAUAGAUGUAGUGAUCACAUAUCAAUGUGGCUCACUAGAUUUAGACAUAUAUGAUUGAUUUUCGAUGUAAUCUCAACUCUGAAUCAAAGUACAAAAUGCAACAUACAUUGUGUAAAAAUCAGUAAGUCACCAUACGACUUAUUGUUGUCAGUACAUAUGGUACAAUCGACGUAGUUAAUUUCUUUCACAAGGAUUUUUCCUACAAUGAUGAUUAUCCAUGUUUGUGUGUCUAUAAUGACAACUCAUAUACUCAUUAAAAUUACGGAGUUUAAAAUGAAGAAUUUGGGUAAACCAAAAUACCGCUCGUUACUACGACUUGAGCACCUUCAUUCAUAGAUUAUGGUAUACUAUGUUGUCUAUAUCCAAAAAUAUAUUGAAGAAAUUCAUUAUGGAUAAAUCUUAUCCAUCCAUAACUCUCAUGGUAGUUCAUUUUCUAGACGUAGAGAAAGAUUUAUUUGGACCACGAGAUGAUGGAAAUGAGAUAUUGGGACUCGUCGUUCCAUAAUGCCAUCGGAUCCACCAAACGUAAUUGGUUGGGACUCAAGAAUAUCUAUCGAUAUCUCCAAAGGCAUCGAACGUCUUGUCUUGGUUUUUCAGUUUCAGAGAAAUCUGAACACCAAUACCAUUGGAUACAUUGAUCGGUUCCCCGCUAUGUCAGGUCAUAGACAAGCUUAGUGUUUCUACUAGGUGUGGUAGCCCUCAUGAAGAGUCUUCGAAACAGACCUCAUGACUACAUCCACCAACCAUUAUCUCAACGAUAAUGUUUUUGUGUGUUGCCCAGAUGCAAACAGGUUAUGCAAUAAGCAACAUCGCUAUAUCGUAAAAUUUGCAAAUCAAAUCAUGUAACUGAUUUUCUCACGAAGUCUCUACCAACUUCUACAUUUCAGAAAUAUGUUCAUGGAAUUGGUAUGUGACGGCUUCGAAAUUUGCAAGAAUCAGGGGAGUAUCUUCGUGAAUUAUCCAUGUUCAAUGCAUCAUAUUAUACUCUUUUCCUUCAUGAGUUUACUAUACAGGUUCUCAUAAAGGUUUUUAAUAAGGUAAUAUCAACAUAAGAUCAUAUGUCAUACUUUCAGUUUUCCCCACCAGGAUUUUUAGAAAAAUAUAUACGACAUAUUUAUUGUCCUUUUAUUUCUACGGGGUUUCCCUAUAUUGAGUUAAAACAGAGAAUAAUCAUCAUAUGUUGCGGCAUUUUCUCCUUAUUUUCCUACUGGGUUUAGAGGAGUUUUGACAACAUAUCAAACAUUACACUCCUUAUAUUUUUCCCACGGAAUUUUUGAAGGAGCCUCUAAUCAAGAUGAUGAUUCUGGAUGGACAAGUAUAGAUUAAGAAAAGUGUUAGAGUUUAAUUAACAUGUUGAAUAUGGGAUAAUCUCCCCUUGUAACUGUCACCUCUCCCUAAGAGAUGCCUCUUGGUCGCAUCUCUUCUCCUUGCAUAUAUACUUACAAUCAUCCGAAUGAAAGAGGGGAUUGAUUCACUUUAACAAUAUAGAGGCAAUGGAGUAGCUAGCCUUGUUGUGCGACACAACAUUUGGGUACGCCAAACUGUAUUCACAGUUUCUCACUGGUAGCAUAUCAUCAUGUAUAAAAUCGUCACGUGCUUGGAACAUUUGCAUGCCAAACUGUAUUCACGUGAUUUCCAUUUCUCAUUUCGUGUCUCAAGUAGCGGCACGUGCCACUGUUGGCUGUGCCCUUUCUGUAAAAUUCCUUGUUGACCAUGAGGCCAGCAAGCCGGCCCCCGCACCGUAUAGCACGGUGGCUGCAGACGACCAGGGUUACUGCCAAUGAAGCCUUCUGCCCUUUCCAACAGAAUUGCGAGCGGCCGGGCACCACCCACUACCCGCCGUGCCAACUUUUGUUCUGUUUUACUCGUCGAUUUGAUGCGCGUACGCGCCCACGCUGGGAGGGGAAGGAACGUUUCUAGGCUCUGUUUGUUGCGGUCAGAUGCGCGCGCUCACGUUUCGUUGCACAGGCCGCAGGCACAUCUCCUCGUGAUUAAUUUCCGUUGGGUGGCUCGACUAAUUGGGUGCUAUAUAUAUGUAGUGUAUCCUGACUGUUUACAUAUUCGUCUGAUAAUCAUGCCUGAACAAGUCAUUUUCUGCAAAUACGAUGAAUCAGAAAAUGAGCCUCCUUAUCUUUUUUGCUGAAAGCAGCACAAACAUUUUUUUUCUUGUUAUUUAUUCAGUUAAUCAGAGAGAUUGCCCAUUAUAGUUUGUCUUGUAUGUCAGUGACUGUACAACAGGCUUUUGCUGUAAUGUGCCACACCGUUGCGUGUACUGUUACAAGAGAAGUGCUUCGAUACACAGAAUAGUCAUAUGGAAAGAAAGCGUAUGCCCAUCUUUCGUAUCGUAGGCGUACGUCAUACCCCUGGUAUGAAUACAAAAAAAAAAAUUUGUACAAACACUCCACGAUCGAGCCCGCCUACCGCCCGCGCAGAGGCAAAAAAAAAAUCGCCGAUUGAUCUGGCCUAGCGCCGGGUGAUCAUGCGGCUGCUGAUGUGGAUCGUCGCGGGGUCGCUUGACGUGUGGAAGACCGCCGUCGUCAGCGCCUCGUUGCAACCCGUCGUGUCUCAUGCAACGGUCGGGGGUUUUGGAUCAUCGUUUUCCGCGUCGACGCCGCACCCGCGCCCGCCGCCUGUAACCACCCAAAGCUUUUGGAGUUAUCGUUUUCUGCAUUGACCCCGCGCCCGCUGCGUGUAACCACCCCGAGACCCCACGCCGCCCGUUCCAACCCGUCGUGUCUCACGCCACGGUCGGCGGUUACGGAAGCGGCCGACCACGUCUUGGACGUCGCCGUUUUUCGCUUCGACGCUGCGUCCGCCGUCUGUAACCACCCCAACGUACUACGCCGCUACUAACCGUACCGACGUCCCACGCCGCCUCUAACCAUCCCGACGUCCCACGCCAGCCACCGCACUCGUCCUCCACCGCAGAUCCGUCUGGUAAUACCACGGGUGGAUUCGUCGUCUUCCACGUCGCCGCCGUCUUGAAUCACACCGGAGACGUCAACACCGCCGCACAAGGUUUGUCAUCUGACCUUUGUACCACGUAUGGAAAUGAGUUAGAUUUAGAAAGAAAUCAUUUUAAAUGCUCACAGGUUAAAUGUUGUAAUUUAUUCAUCGGUAUGACCCACUCUAUGAUCCUAGAAUUUAACGCGAGAUAAUGCGUUUGUCAAUGAUGUGCAGUGUUGGUAGUAACUUGUGUUUAGGUAGACGAAAAAACCUCAUUUACGACCGAUGAUAAUGGUACGGAUAAGGUUAGUCGGACCGAUGACGAUCCUAGUAAUGAAGAUGAUGACAACAUCGAUAACGAAUGGUGGUCAUCAUAUGAUAUCUUACCUUCAGAGGAUUUUGAAAAUAAUGAACAUGGUGCAAACAGUGAAAACGUAAGUGAAGUCUAUUUGAUUUCAUUUUUCAACUGGCAAAAUACCGUAUGUGUAAUUAUUUAUCUGUGUUUUUAAUUUACAGGAAGAUGUGGACGUUGAGAAUGAGCAAAAUAAUUAUGAGAAAUCGAGGGCCGGUAAUGUGAACCAGGUUCGUUCAAACAUUUUGUACCGUGUGCGAUAGUUUGUACACAUAGAUGAUAAUAAUUGUCAUAGUUUCAUAUGUAAUUUUGUAGGAGGGCUCAGAUGGUCCUGAUGAUUCUGAAGACGGGGCAGAGAUGGACAUUGUGGAGGCUCAAUACCAGCAGCAGAUGUUGGAGACACAUUGGAAGGUUAUGGCUAUGACUUUUUGGUCCCAAGGGGAUGCAUACAUAUUCUACAACAAGCACACCAAAGAGCGUGAGUUCAGCAUCAGAAGAGAGAAGGUGAAACGAAGGAAGGAUGCUUCAGGAAUAAUUCGGUUCAGGCGGUUCGUUUGCUCUAGGGAAGGGAGUAGGCAGAGCAAAUUCAUAACCAUGGAGGGUCGCACCCGUAGGUUUAGACCCGAGACUUGAUGUGAGUGCGGUGCGUAGAUGGUGGUGAAACUGGACAGGGCACGUGGACUUUGAUUCGUCGUGACAUUCAUGGACAAUCACAACCACACGAUGGCUCGACCCGACGAGGUUCCAUUUUUGUGGUCACACACACGGAUUGGAGAUGGCACGAGGGCAGAGAUACUGGCUAUGCAAGGGGAUGGAAUCAGGAAGCAUAUAAUGGUGGACAACUUAAUCAGUAGGUACGGUUCGUACGAUAAAUGUGGACUUAUUAGACGGAACAUGUACAAUCUUUGCUGGAGAGAGAAAAUGUAGCUCAUUGCAAAGGGUGAUGUUGAGAUGGCAGUGGGCAUUACGAGGAGCAGAAAGGCGAAGGACCCAGACUUCUUCUUCGAGUUUGUGCUAGAUAAGGAAGGGCGAUUGAAGAGUAUGUUCUCGUGCAAUGCACAAUCGCGGAGGGAGUAUCAGGACUACGGAGAUGUGGUCGUGUUUGACAUGACGUAUAAGAUGAACAGAUGUGGUAUGACGUUCAUCCCCUUUGUCGGUGUCAAUAAUCACCGUCGCACAACUGUUUUUGGUUGCGCCAUUGUUUUUGACGAGACAGAAGGACGUAUGUGUGGCUGCUUCAGACUCAUGAGGGCAAACUGUCAGCAGAAGCCAAAGUUAAUAACCACAGACUGUGACGCUCCAAUGAUCCGAGCAAUUCAGAGUGUUCUUUCAGAUGUGCUCCAUCGUAUUUGCUCGUGGCAUGUCGAGAAAAAUAUGAAGAGGCACCUAUAUUACAACUCACUUACAUAUAGCAUUAAUAUGUGUUUAUGAUAUAUUGGGUGAGGUAGCCCUCUAGGAUUGUUGGUCUCAUGUUAUGUCAUACAAUAUUAAUUUUCUAAGAGGCUCGUGAUAUAUAAGGAUGUACACCCCCCUCCCCCCAUGUUGCUUUCCAUAACCCAUAUGUAGAUGAUAUAGUAGCUAAUCGAGUACAAUACAAAGAGCAAUCUAUAUGAAGAUAAUUCAAGUUCGGAGUCUUAGCGAUAGGAAUGAGAGAAAUUAGAAACAUAUGUUCAAUGCGUUGGAUAGGUUUGGUGACGAUGUGGUAUUAAUGAGUUAUGUGUGGUAGUAACCAAAAGUUGUUCGAGUCACGGAUGAUAUCCUGGAUGUCACGAGAAGCUCCGAAAUGGCCCGGAGGUAAAGAUUUAUAUAUGGGAAGUCAUACUUUGGCUAUCGGAAAAGUUUUGAAGUUUUUCGGUAUUGUACCGGGAAGCUUCUAGAAGGUUCUGGAAACUUCCGGAGGAGUACGGAAGUCCACCAAGGGUUCCACCACAUUCAAAGAGUGUGCAUGGGCUCAGGGGAGAUGUCGUGGCCUUAUAGGUCCAAGCACACAAGUCCCUUAAGGCCCAUGCAGUUGGGAAAAGUGGAAAGUCCACCUUUGUAUGGAAGGGAAUGAAGGGGACUAGGAUUCCACCACCUCUCCCCUUGGAUGUGCCCUAGGGCUUCGAGGGACUGUUCCCCACACCCCUCCACCUAUAUACAGGGAGGAGGGGGCGCCUCAAGAGCACACACGAAGCCCUUGGCGCCCCCUCUCUCUCCCUAGAUCAAUUUCUCCUCUAGUUUUCCGGUAGUGCUUAGGCAAAGCCCUACCGAGAUAGCACCACCACCGCCGCCACCAUGCCGUCGUGUUGUCGGAGAACUCAUCUACUACCCCGCCCUCGCUCGUUGGAUCGAGGAGGGAGAGACGUCAUCGAGCUGUACAUGUGCUGAACGCGGAGGUGCCGUCCAUUCGACACUCGAUCGGGAGUUCGUGGGACGGAUCGUGUUUGGAUUGAAAAGACAUACCACUAAAUCAACCGCGUUCUUUAACGCUUCCGCGUAGCGAUCUAUAAGGGUAUGUAGAUACAAUCUCUCCUCUCGUAGAUGUUCAUCACCAUGGAUAGAUCGUGUGUGCGUGUAGGAUUUUUUUUAUUUCCCAUGUGACGUUCCCCAACAGCGCCUCCCCGAAAUCAGGCAACCUUGUCUCCCACCACAACCCCCUUUCCCCCCCCCCCUUCGUCCUCCUCCUUCUCCGUUGCUGGAAGGAGAGGGGGACCAACAGAUCACCGUCCAUGACGACAAGCAGUUCCUCCAUGGACGUAGCCACUAGCACCUCCUGUAGACAUGAGAACACCGUGGUCAAGGCUCCCACGACAAGAAGCAGCAGGUCAUUGGGCUUUGUCCAGGUUUUCGGGCGUCGGCUCCAACUCUGACGUCCAUCGAUGAGUUCCACCUACUACUCCUCUCUACCUCUCUCUUCCUCUUUGUAAUUUUUUUCUCAUCUUUUGUAGCAACAGUAGAUGAGAGGUGCGGGCACGAGUUGGGUGGGGAAGCACCAUCACCAUGGACAACUUCAUCCCCUCCAAGACUAGAAACAACCAUGGAUGGAGAGGACGAUGAUGCCCAACAACAGCAGCAAUAACCAUGGAUGGAAUUUAUUAAUUUUAAUUCCUAAUUUGUUAGUAGUAGCGGGGGACUCUGACACGCGCUACUACUACCAGAAGUAGCAGUAGCGCAGGGUGAUACCCGCACUAUAGCUAAAAGUUAGUUGUAGCGCUGUAGCAGUAGCGCGGGCCCCCUCGCUACUAGUAGGCCUUUACCCCGCGCUACAACUAGUGUUUUCCCUAGUAGUGUUAAUUUACUCGAAGGCUCAUGGUAGACGAGGAUGUCGCCUUGCUUCCCCAUGUUGCUUCUGAUACCCAUCCCAUAUAAGAGGCACAAUAGCAAGCCGAAAUACAAGACAAAGAGCAAGUAGAAGAAGAUAAUUCAGGUUUAGAGGCUGGUUCGAUAGGAAUGAUAUGAAUCGAAAAGAUGUGUUGUAUGUGUUUGAUGUAUAUGCCAAGACACAAGCACUACUAUUUCACAACAGUUCAAAACAAAUGACCAUGUGGCUACGGACAGACACACAACCAAAAACUUUUGAGCUCGGGGUCAUCAAAUACCUUCUACUUGCUAAUGCAGUCGACCUAAAUAUCAUCACACUCCUCGCUAGUAGAUUUAAAAUGUCCAAUAUUAAAUAAACCAUGUUAUAAAAAAUAGUUAUGCUUGUUAUUUGAAAAUAUGCCUUUAGUUUUUGUACAUUGCCCUUUUUAUUUUAUGUAUGUACCACUAACAAUUGCACUUGCCCUUUUUAUUUUAUGUAUGUACAUAAAAUUUGAAUAAUAAAUGUCAAAGGUAGUCAAUAUUUCUAUUUUACAUAACUCAAGGGCCUUGUCGUGCAUUGCUAGCGCAUUAGUAUUCGAAUUAGUGUCAGAUACGCUCUUGCAUCCUAUUAGCAGUGAACAUACCCGUUAUACCUCUUUCUUUUUAAAACAUAAGGAUGUAGUUGUAUCUCUACUUUGUGCCACAUGGAUAGACGGUUGCCUUGUGCGAGCAUAUCAACAUUCAAUCUUGGAAAAUUAUAAAGAGAAGCGCCGCACCAUAGCUUUCUCAUGCAGCGGCUCCAUGUGCAUGCAAAAAUCUUUCAUCACAUGCUUACAUCAUCGCAUUAAAUGCCUUUUUGAAUUUUAGAAAUGAUUUAUCUCACAGAUUAAUAAUUUGAUUGGAGAUCCGUCUUUACCGUUAGGUUCGUCUCGACGAGACCUUCAAAAUAAGAUCUCAUGUUGACAUGUUUUAUUGAUUUUUUUUCGUCGUUCCUAGGUGCCACAUUUAUGUCAUCAUAGUUGUCAUCUUACGAGUGUAUAGUUGUCACAAAAAUUAUACAUAAUUAUCAGGGCAAUAAUUUUAUACUUGUUAAGCAUUGCAAUGUUAUGUGAAGCUAAAAGUGGGUAUUAGAGCACUAACAAUAAACAAGUAAAUGCAUGAACUAGCACAAGUACAAUGAAUCAAGUUUUUUAGUGGGGUAUAUCGACAUUCAUAAGCCUGAUAAUCAAGUUGAUUUAAUGUGAGAACUAUGUGACAAAUAAUGCGACAAGUAAGAGAUAAUAAUCUGGCAAGUACCGAUGAAAAUAAAAGUUAUCGAAACGUAGCGACAUGGGAUCUAGUUUUGAAGAUCUCGUUGCGAAAAAGUCAAUGGUGAAAACGGAUCAUUAAUUGAGAUAACGGUUUGAAAGAUAAAUCUUUUUAAAUGCAUUAUAAGAAAAUAAUAUUUAAUGAUGUCAUGCUUGUGUAAUGUUGCAUGCAUGCAAAUAAUUGAUGGAAGAAAGCCGCCGCAUGGGAAAACUUAUGUGCGUCGCCGCUCCCUAGUUAAGUCCUUCAAUCUUUUCACGACGAUCAUGUGGCAGUGGCACUUUUGUAAUACCGCACACAUAGAUUUUAGGAGUGGUAACCAAUUUGCUCUGUUGAAAGAAUCUUUCGAAUAUGGGCAGAAAGUCAUCUUCUAGUCAGCAGCAAAAGAAAAACAUAGCGUCAUUUGAUGCCAAUUGGUUGAAGUAGAACUAUAAAUACCCACUUUAUAUACAUCUAUAUUUAUAUCUGAAUAUGUUCUGGUAUAAACUAACUGCUGUCAAGCCGUCACUUAACUUCAAUAAAAUUCACAAAGCCAUUUUGUUAGUUAAAAGGUUGAUAAAAAAGUUGUAAAACAACAAAACUAUAGUUUUUCCGCUCCGAUUUGAACCUAGCCUUAAGUUUUCUUUUCAUCGCUGGCCUCCUCCCUCUGUUUAACUAAGAUUUUCAUUAUCUGGACCGAUCGGAAUGUACCCUAUCAUUCAGUUUAGAUCUGCUUUGUUAGAUUUGUCCUCAUAUCUAUCCAGUUUAUUUUGUAUUCGCAAAAAUUUUGUACAUUUUAAUUAUGAAUCCCAUCCUCAUAAAUUACAAGUAUUUAGAUACAGAAAGAAUAGUUCACAAAAUGUUUGAAGCAAACCCGGUAUGAACCAUUCGGCCCAACGAAACCAGCAUUGACCUCUUCUCCAAGCCAAGGAAAUAAUAGUAAAAAAAACCUCUCCCCUCCCCUCCUCUGCGCCCUCCCAAAAGCCGCCCCCUUCCCAAAGAAAGAACCACACACGAGCAGGCACAACCAACCCGCCGCCGCCGCCGCCGCCUCCUCCUCCGAUCCCCCAAGGUAAGCCCCCCCCCNCCCACCCCCCAUCCGCCCGAUCCCGGAUCCUCUCCCGCGAUCUCACCUGGCCGCAUUCCCGCGACACCCCCUUCUUCCCAGGAGCCGUCGCGUCCCGGAAGGAGCAGCAGAUCCAUCCAUGGCGGCGCUGGGGUCCAAGCUGGCGCAGCUGCAGGCCAAGGCCUGCGAGGCGACGCGGUUCGCGGCCAGGCACGGCUGCGCCUACCACAAGACCCUCAUGGAGAAGAACAAGCAGUUCGUCGUGCAGCCGCCCACCGUCGAGAAGUGCCAGGAGCUCUCCAAGCAGCUCUUCUACACCCGCAUCGCCAGGUCCAUUCCCCAUCUCCCUCCCUCUCCAUCCUUCCCUCCCGGCGGUCCUUGUUUUGGCGCCUCCGUUCGCGGAUCGAAUCGAUUGCAUGGUCCUUCUGUGCAUAUAUGGAUCGAUGCAGUUACUGUUGCUAUCUGCCCAACCUAUUGCUUGUUCGUGAUUCAAAAUGUUAUAAUUCUUGGCGUGACUUGUCAGACAGACAACGCCCUAGGCCAGACUGUUAUUUGGGGCAUGUGAUUUCGUAAAGAUUACUGGUGUUGAUAGUCUAAACAUAACUUGUUUGUUAUAUAUAACCUAAUUUAUAUUCCAUCUUUGUCGACUUGUGGCUGAUUGAUGAAUGAGGUAGUAAUAAUACUACAUUAUGCAGGUGUUCAUAUUGGGCAAACCAUGGAACAGUGUUAUGAAAAAUGGGGUGAUGCGAUGAUCUUAUCUCAUCUACAAGAAAUGGAACACUGAUAGAUAAAUUGCCAGUUAUUCAUGAAACCUAAUU